rnacentral:rRNA from 1 species
AGGAAUAUUGGUCAAUGGGCGGGAGCCUGAACCAGCCAAGUCGCGUGAGGGAAGACGGUCCUACGGAUUGUAAACCUCUUUUGCCGGGGAGCAACGGGGUCCUUGCGAGGGCCCAAUGAGAGUACCCGGAGAAAAAGCAUCGGCUAACUCCGUGCCAGCAGCCGCGGUAAUACGGAGGAUGCGAGCGUUAUCCGGAUUUAUUGGGUUUAAAGGGUGCGUAGGCGGGCUGUUAAGUCAGCGGUCAAAUGUCGGGGCUCAACCCCGGCCUGCCGUUGAAACUGGCGGCCUCGAGUGGGCGAGAAGUAUGCGGAAUGCGUGGUGUAGCGGUGAAAUGCAUAGAUAUCACGCAGAACUCCGAUUGCGAAGGCAGCUCACUGGACUGGUCACUGACACUGAGGCUCGAAAGUGUGGGUAUCAAACAG